rnacentral:tRNA from 1 species
GGGGAUAUAGCUCAGUUUGUAGAGUGUUUACCUCGCACGUACAAGGCCCUGGGUUCAAUCCCCAGCCAUCACCA